AUACUACUCCCUCCGUCCCAAAAUUCUUGUCUUAGAAUUGUCCAAAUACGGAUGUAUCAAGUCAUGUUUUAGUAUUAGGUACAUCCGUAUCUAGACAAAUCUAAGACAAGAAUUUUGGGACGGAGGGAGUACUUU
rnacentral:pre_miRNA from 1 species